rnacentral:lncRNA from 1 species
AUCCUUUUAAUCCCUUCCUGUACCAUCUGCCACAGAAAUUGAGGCAUUUCAACAUCACUCAAAGUGGGCCAAUGCUUUUUCCAUACUUCUAAGAAUCACCUUAACAGCAAAUUCAUGCCAACCCCUAGGUUUCUUCCAGGACAGUUAACUUUGUAUCCCUUGUCCAAUCUUAUGCUCUGCCCCCUUUGAGCACAUUCAGAACCUAGUCUCCCCCAGCCACUGGCUAGGUCAUGAAAUUCUGGUAGGUGUAGAUGAUUUCCUUCUUUCUGAGUCUCAAAACACUCCCUGCUGGAUUAUGGUGUGAUUCCAUGCUAAUUAUAGGCCUGGGAAGCCUAAGAGGAAAUGGAUCAACUCCAGAGGGGCUAACUAUUGCAUGUAGGAGAAAAAGCUCUGUAUUCCUUUCCCACACUGGGGUAGUAGAAAAUCUUUGCAAACAAUGCAACUGACAAGGGCUUAAUCUCCAAAGUAUAUAAACAACUCAUAACGCUCAACAAACAACCCAAUCAAAAAACGGACAGAAGACCUAAAUAGACAUUUCUCCAAAGAAGACAUACUGAUGGCCAGUAAAUACAUGAAAAGAUACCCAACAUCACUAAUUAUUAGAGAGAUGAAAAUAAAAACUACAAUGAAGUACCACCUCACGCUGGCCAGAAUGGCCACAGUUAACGUCUUCAAAUAACAAAUGAUGGAGAAGGUGUGGCAAAAAAGGGAACACUCCUACACUGUUGGUGGGAAUGCAAAUUAGUACAACCACUAUGGAAAACAGUAUGAAGGUUCCUCAGGAAACUAAAUAUAGAACUACCAUAUGAUCCAGCAAUCCCACUCCUGGGCAUAUAUCUGGUCAAAACUAGAAUUCGAAAAGAUACAUGAACACCUAUGUUCACAGCAGCACUGUUCUCAAUAGCCAAGACAUAGAGGCAUCCUAAAUGUCCAUUGACAGAUGAAUGGACUGGGAAGAUGUGGUACAUACAUACAAUGGAAUACUACUCACCCAUAAAAAAAGAAUGAGUGAAGUCGGAAAGAGAAAGAUGAAUAUCGCACGAUAUCACUUAUAUGUGGAAUCUAAAGUAUGGCACAAAUGAACAUACUUACAAAACAGAAACAGACUCACAGACUUGUGGUUGCCAAGGGGCAGGUGGGAGGGAGUGGGAUGGACUGGAAGUUUGGGGUUUGUAGAUGCAAACUAUCACAUUUAGAAUGGAUAAUCAAUGGGGUCCUACUGUACUGCACAGGGAACUAUAUCCAAUCUUUUGGGAUAGAAUGUGAUGGAAGAUAAUAUAAGAAGAAGAAUGUAUAUAUAUGUAUAACUGGAUCACUUCUCUGUACAGCAGAAAUUGGCACACAUUGUAAAUCAACUAUACUUUAAUUAAAAAUAAAAAUAAAAAAAUUUGUCUUGGGAAGCAAACUUCUUAGGAAAAUCCAUCCAGAUUGCCCUAGUCCCAUGUGUUUAGAGCCCUAUGUUUCCCUAGUCAGGGACUUGACUUCAUCAUAAAGGACCUGCCUUAGUUGAGCAUUCAACCAUCUUGGAAAUACAGCCACUCUAUUAGAUCUUGGGCUGAUAUUCAGCUUUUUCUUUGUUCACUGAAUGAGAUAAAGCUUUUUCAUUGACUACCAAAGAGACUGUCUGGCUCUAACAUUCAAUAUUCAAUUGCCAGUUACUUGUUCUCAGCCUUUCAUGAUCUAUCUCUGGGGUGUCAAUGAAACUUAGUAAGAACCACUCAAUUCUAUUAUCCUAAUAUUUAUCAUUCCCCCCAUGUAUUCCAAACACCUGGAUCAUCACACUGAUCAAUGCAUUAUCUUACACUGCAGCAUUCUCCCAAGUUAUCACAUUGAAGUUUUGAUAGUAGGGCCACCACUUUGUGCCAGAGUCUACCCAUGGUCCAGUGACCACCUGGGAUGGGGAGUAUCGCCAGCUGGGAAGUGAUCCAGUGACAAAACUUUAUCUUACUUGUUGUUCUCCAGGAAGCACACACUGAGAUGGAGAGAGAAGCUCAAGAUGUACUGGGGAAGUAACACUUACGGAUAAAAACAAAGAAAAGAUGCCAAAUUGGGCUGCCAGGAGCAGGUCAGUUGAUUUAACACACACAGAGAAAUAUGGAGCUGAAAAAAUCCAUUACAUACCAUGAGCUCAGCACAAAGAUACUCUAUUUCAUUUCUGCCACUAAUAUAUGCUCAAGAUUUCUAAAUAAUUGGCAGGACUCCCUACCAGUUACCUGGGUCAAGAAGCCCUGAGUUCUAUUAACCGUUUAGUCCUUCAGGUGGACAUAUGGACACUGAAGCAUUUUAGCCCCAAGCUCCUGCCUCCUAAUAUUGGCACUAGAUGGAGACACAGCUUCUCUCAUGCUCUAGUGUGACAACUGCAAGGAUUACUGGUUUCAUGCUUAAAUUGUAGAGUGUGUCUACACUUGACAACAGUGUCCCAAAUUCUUUUACUCAUGGACAAGACUGACCACAGUGCCUUGGGGAUUCCAUUUGCAGUCAUGGGUGGACUUGCUAAGUAGGAGGUAUGUCUCAGUGUAGUGUAGCAGGACCACACAGGUUUUAAUGUUGUCUGUCUUGGAUUUUAUUUCUGGCUGUCCCCAGUGCUACCUACACAACUUGGGGCAAAAGACACAUCCACUCUGGUCCUUAGGAAGGAUUAAAAACAAUGAUAACUCCUCAAGGACUCUGAGGAUUAUAUGUAUAACGUUUCUACCAGAGGGGCUGGCAUCAGCAGAUUCAUCUACCUGUGAAUUUUCCUCCCCUGCUUCACUUCUUCCUCUUCUCUGUCCUUAUAUAUCUGGGUUGAAAUCAGCCUACUGAUGUAUUCCUGUUAUAUUGACCAUGUAAAGAAAAAUGUUAAGAAUCAGAAUGUGCUAGGCAUACUUGAGGCUCUGCAUAAGCCAGGUUUGUUUACAGACAUCCACAGCUCAGCUUGAGGUGGGCCACACUGCUCAGUCCCCUUCCCACCUGGCCUGGUACCAUCAAUCUCCCCAAAAUGCAUUACAUAGACAACAAGCAUGCUCAAAGUGGCAGAGUCAUGAAAUCAAUGCUAUCCUUGGGUAAGAAUGAUAGGAUUUCAUUAAUCCCUGAUGUCCCACAGCAGAAAAGGACUUGAAAUGCUGUGCAUCUAUCAUCAUCAAAGGCAGAGGAGUCAUAGGGUGACUCUGACCACCUGUUCCACUUUAAUUAUGCAAAACAGAUUAUGUACAAAGCAAGAGGAUAUGUUCCUUGCUUGCCAACAAGAUUGAAGAAUUCAGGAGGCAGAAGAAGAAAAAUGAGAGACCUCCAGCAGUCUCUUCAACUUCUUUGUCCUUUUAUCUAGCUCCGCUGUCUCUCCCAGACCAAUUGCCAGAGGCUUCUUCUUUCUUUCCAGUCACAGUUGUGUUCCUCUUAGCAGGAGUGAACAGACUAUAGCCCACAGGGCAAAUUCAGCCUAAUCCUGGAAGUUGAAUUUGUGUGACUUACUUUUUUAAGUUUCAAAAUUUAAUGAGUUUAAAGUUCUCUAGAUUAUGCAGAGACAUUUCUAGGAGAAUUCUCAGAAACCAUAUUAUGGCUCAUAUAUAUCAUGAAUUCCAAAGGAAUGAAUGUUUUAGUCUAGGAGUUUUUGCCUCACUUUCAAAAGAAAAUGAGCCUGGGCAGAGGCUUUCUGUGCUAUUACUUUAUUAGGAAGUGCAAACCCAAGGAGCAAAGCAGAGGGACAAGGCAGGGGAAAGCAGAGAAAGCAAAGAGGAAAAAUGAGGCUGGUUGCCACCAGAUGGAGGGUGAUGCUGGCUCCUUUGUAUUCUAGUCUCGGGAAAAGAGAAAUUUUUUCCAUCAACCUGUGCAGAAUCAGAGUAAGAGUGGAAGCCAAAGGUGUAUGCUUGAGGCAAGGUACCAUCAGAGCUACUGGCCAGAGAUGCAGGUAGAGCAAGAAAGGGAUGAAGCAGAAAAAGACCUGAAGUGGUGCACAUGCAUUCUGAUGCCUAUGAACACAGAAUGCUGAGACUCCCAAAGCUACUGGGCCAUGGAGUCAUCUUAUUCAUGAGUAUCCAAUUCACAUGUCAUAGGACUUACAUUCCUCAAAACGGUGUAGACUUGCUAGGCUACCCUCUCUGUGCACAUCUCUGUCUCCCUAUACAACCUGCAGCCUGAUGCCUGCCCUUCUUAUUCCUGUACCACCAUUGACCCCUUCCAAAUACAUACUGAGUCAAUGGCCUCUUCUCAACAUCAACCUUCCACCUAGAGAGGCAGCUGAGCAUCAUGAAAAGGGCACACACCUUGGGAUCAGAGAGACCAAAGCUUGAAACUGGGUAUCUACUCACCAGCUGGGGGGGGCCCGAUCAGGUUACUCAACUUUGGUGAGCUUCAGUUUCUGAAACUCUACAAUGGGAUGGACAUGAGGAUAUGGGGUGACAUGAGAGUGACAUGAGAAGCUACAAGCUAACUUAUGGAAAGGGCCCUGCUCAGAGUACAUUUUACUUAUUUUAUUAUUAUCCCUGCAUCAUUGGAUAUCAUUGGUCUUAUGUGUCCAUGAACUCUCCUCUUCCUCAUUUCCCUGUUGGUCCCCUUAGUUCUCUCUUACCCCUUUUUUCUAUCUUCCUAAGUCACUGUCUACUAUGGACUGAAUUCUGUCCCUCCCUCACAAUAUUCAAUGUUGUUGCCAUAAUCCCCCGAAAGACUAUAAUAGAGAUAGGGCCUUUAGGGAGGGUAAUUAAAAUUAAGGGAGGUGAUAUGGUGGGACCCUGAUCCAACAAGGAUUAGUGUCCAUAUAAGAAAAAACACCAGAGCACUCUCUCCCCAUAUACACACCAAGGAAAGGCCACCUGAGGACACAGUAAGAAAGUGGCUAGCUAUUAGCCAGGAAAAGGAUUCUCACCCGAAACCACCCCUGUCAGACACUUAUCUUGGACUUCCAACCUCCAGGACUGUAAGAAGUAAAUUUCUAUCAUUUAAGGCACCCAUCAUGUGGUCCAUUGUUAGGGCAAGCCCUGCACACUAAUAUACCUCCCCUGACUCCUCUUUCUGCUUUGAAAUGGAGAAGUUCCUCAAGGUAAUAAUGGUUCUGUCCUCUCCAUCCUCACUCUCCCUCCCCCAAGUUUAGUCUCAUUCCAUACCUUGACUUUACCCAUAACUCACAAAUCCACAUCUCUAAUUCAGACCUGUCUUUGGUUCUGAGCAUUUAAAUCCAAAUUUUAAAAUCUUUGACAUCUUCACUUGAGUGUCCCCCUGGCCUAGCAAACUCAUCAUGUCUAAAAUUGAACUCAUCAUACUGUUCCUGAGAGCUCAUCAACGUCUUUUUCUUGCUGCCCAAUCCUUUGUAGAAUGAGAGAGGACAUAAAGAGAAAUGGAUACUUGUACAGAACGAUGGAAAGAUAGGCAGAUAAAAUUAGAGGUAACAUUUGAGUAUGUAUGUUCCACACACUAUGCAAAAUUAUUUACAGGGAUCAAUUGGUUGGAUUUGUAUAAUUACUCCUAUUUUUCACAUAAAGAAAUUGAGGAAAGUUUAAGUCUCUUGCCUGGGAUCAGAGUCAGUAAGUGAUAAAGCAAAGUCUGGAGACCAGGGCAUCAAACUCUAGAGCCUGACUUCAACCAGGUCAUUGGACUUUGCUCAGCCAACCGUCUCUGCUCUAUAUGAGUAACCCUAUGCCCACCCACGUCUUAACUAGGCUGCUGACAUGCAGAAAAAUAGCAAUAUAUGUUCACACUGUUUUACUGCAUGUUCUCCCUCUUCUCUCCCUCUCCAUCACCACCCACUUUACCAACACCAUUCCCAUAGCCUAGGACUGUCAUACUUUCCCUUGAGAACUGAUGCAUGUGUCACAGUGUGUGUGAAGCUCUUCCUCAUUUUUCCAGGUAAAAUUCAUCGCUCCUUCCCCAUACUCCCGCACAGCACAUUUUACUUUUAGCGCUAUCAAAGGACAUAUUUUUUUUUAGUACGUCAGCAAGUUCUGUUUGUCUUCCCUGCUGGAUCACUAGCUCCAGGUCAGUGGGAACUUGACUGUUUCAUCUCUGUGUACGCCAUGCAUAACAGAGUGCCUGCCCUAGAGUGGAAGGUCAAUAAGCAGUUCUAACUAAUGUUGAAUCGGUCACAAACCUACCAAGGCUUUGGCCAUCUGGACCAGUGGGGUGAUAAGGAGCUGGGAGCUGGCAAGGCCUUGUACCUGUGACCAGGAAACCAAAGGGGUACACACAAUGGAAACUUCCACAAGAAGGGAAAGUUCUUUAAAAUGGGAAAUUUUAUCACAAUUAACAUCA